AUGAUGAUGGUCGGUGGCAAAAGUCGAUUUCAUACUCCCUGCGCGGCCCUCUGGACCUCCAAUGGGAAUGGCUUUUGUGUCCAGUCGGAGCAAAUUGAGUCCCUCUGAGUGUUUUUGAGCAACCCCCUUAAGAGAUGCAUCAUCCUCUCAUGGAUUACCUGUCUUGUCCGUCUCUCCGCCAGAUCAAUUUCAUCUUCCUCUUCAACAUCGUCAGAAUCCUCAUGACGAAGCUCCGAGCUUCGACCACGUCGGAGACGAUACAGUACAGGAAAGCAGUGAAGGCCACUCUGGUGCUCCUCCCUCUGCUUGGGAUCACCUACAUGCUGUUUUUUGUCAAUCCCGGAGAGGAUGAGAUCUCCCAGAUUGUGUUCAUAUAUUUCAACUCAUUUCUGGAGUCCUUUCAGGGUUUCUUCGUGUCCGUGUUCUACUGUUUCCUGAACAGCGAGGUAAGCGGUCUCGUCUUGCCGUAUUCUGAGCCUCCCUAUCCCAUGAUGCAAAGCAGAAACAGGAAAAUGGGUUUUGGGACAGAGGCUGGUGCUCAAGGACAGGAAAAUCAAUCAAGCUCAGAUUCAGAUUGCUCAGAUGACACCACACUUAAUCCCCUUUUAGGAUCAAUAGCAAAAAAUAGAACAAAAAAAAUAUGGCCCAGCAUAAAAUAUUCAUGGAAGAAAAGUCCCGUUUGGCACAUAAUACCUGGCGUUUGGAAAAGAUUGCUUUUCAUAUAAAAUAAUGCCUUUGGGAAUUCAUUUUACUUCUGUGAAGCGGCCUUUGCAGAUGAUACCCAGGGGUUUUUAAUGCUGCAAUUUUUUUUCAG